rnacentral:rRNA from 1 species
GAUGAACGCUGGCGGCGUGCCUAAUACAUGCAAGUCGAGCGAACAGACGAGGAGCUUGCUCCUCUGACGUUAUCGGCGGACGGGUGAGUAACACGUGGAUAACCUACCUAUAAGACUGGGAUAACUUCGGGAAACCGGAGCUAAUACCGGAUAAUAUAUUGAACCGCAUGGUUCAAUAGUGAAAGACGGUUUUGCUGUCACUUAUAGAUGGAUCCGCGCCGCAUUAGCUAGUUGGUAAGGUAACGGCUUACCAAGGCAACGAUGCGUAGCCGACCUGAGAGGGUGAUCGGUCACACUGGAACUGAGACACGGUCCAGACUCCUAGGGGAGGCAGCAGUAGGGAAUCUUCCGCAAUGGGCGAAAGCCUGACGGAGCAACGCCGCGUGAGUGAUGAAGGUCUUCGGAUCGUAAAACUCUGUUAUUAGGGAAGAACAAAUGUGUAAGUAACUAUGCACGUCUUGACGGUACCUAAUCAGAAAGCCACGGCUAACUACGUG